CCUACGGGAGGCAGCAGUGGGGAAUAUUGGGCAAUGGGCGAAAGCCUGACCCAGCAACGCCGCGUGAAGGAAGAAGGCUUUCGGGUUGUAAACUUCUUUUUAGGGGGAAGAGCAGAAGACGGUACCCCUUGAAUAAGCCACGGCUAACUACGUGCCAGCAGCCGCGGUAAUACGAAGGUGGCAGGCGUUGUCCGGAUUUCCUGGGUGUAAAGGGCGUGCAGCCGGGAAGACAAGUCAGAUGUGAAAUCCCGCGGCUCAACCGCGGAACUGCAUUUGAAACUGUUUUUCUUGAGUAUCGGAGAGGUAAUCGGAAUUCCUGGUGUAGCGGUGAAAUGCGUAGAUAUUAGGAAGAACACCAGUGGCGAAGGCGACUUUCUGGACAGUAACUGACGUUGAGGCACGAAAGUGUGGGGAGCAAACAGGAUUAGAUACCCGUGUAGUC
rnacentral:rRNA from 1 species